rnacentral:tRNA from 1 species
GCUCCCCUAGUAUAUCCAUUACAAUUGACUUCCAAUCUAUAGAGUCUGGUUCAAACCCAGAGAGGAGCA